GACGAACGCUGGCGGCGUGCUUAACACAUGCAAGUCGAACGGAAAGGCCCUGCUUUUGUGGGGUGCUCGAGUGGCGAACGGGUGAGUAACACGUGAGUAACCUGCCCUUGACUUUGGGAUAACUUCAGGAAACUGGGGCUAAUACCGGAUAGGAGCUCCUGCUGCAUGGUGGGGGUUGGAAAGUUUCGGCGGUUGGGGAUGGACUCGCGGCUUAUCAGCUUGUUGGUGGGGUAGUGGCUUACCAAGGCUUUGACGGGUAGCCGGCCUGAGAGGGUGACCGGCCACAUUGGGACUGAGAUACGGCCCAGACUCCUACGGGAGGCAGGAGUGGGGAAUAUUGCACAGUGGGCGGAAGCCUGAUGCAGCAACGCCGCGUGCGGGAUGACGGCCUUCGGGUUGUAAACCGCUUUCGCCUGUGACGAAGCGUGAGUGACGGUAAUGGGUAAAGAAGCACCGGCUAACUACGUG
rnacentral:rRNA from 1 species